UAAAGCCUUACUUUUUCUCAACACAGGUGUUCCACAUUCCACUUAAUGAGGCAGCCUCAGCAGGGAGCGAGAAAUGUGGUUGGAAAGCCACCUCAAAACGGAGAGCUAAGGCAGGAGAAAACCAGCCCACAGACAGCUGAAGAGAGGAAUUUAAAUUAACUUUAUGCUUACGUCAAAAAUUCCACACUGGAAAAGCUUUGAAGAGGCUCUCUCUCUCUGCUCUGAGGCGAAUCAUAUUUGUCCAAUAACUGCUUGGCCUUUUGCAGCUGUUGGGCUGAGACAGAAUGAGUCAUGUGUUACCCAUUUAAGUCCAAUUUCUCCCAUGCAAAUGCCUGACAUGUGUGACUCUGCAGGGCCUGAAGUUGAAACAGUGUUUUGAAACGGAGGGAGAGAGAGAGAGAGAAUCAAGGCCAGAGCUACAUGGCCAUUUAACCACCUGCUUCACCCGUGACCUGCGCCGUUUAAAGAAACCAUGCCUGUUGUCUGUGGCGUGGUUUUCAUUCUGUGUCAUCUGCCAUGAAACAAAAUGAAUAAACAAAGGAAACAUGGAUCCACUGAUUUCCCAUUAUCAAGAUAGCCAUCACGCCAAUUUGUGCUGGAAAUAGAAAACUCUCCCUUUGGAAAAUGUGAGUUACAAGCGCUGAAUUGUUACAUCUGAACAAAAUAAUUUUUCACCUCCAAAAA